CUCCUUCCACCUCCUUUGCUCUGCCUUUUCGGUCCUCUCUGUAAAAGGGAGCUCCUUUUCUAGCCGAGGCUGGCUAGCCCACCGAACCCCCCACUCCCCAGCCCCCGCUAAAGGGAAGGUGGAAGAGGAAGGAGAAUUGGGGAGAAAAGUGCCGCGCUGAGCAGCCAGAGGGGACACGCAAGGCAGGAAAAGAGAGAGAAAGGGGGGAGAUUAUAAACUAUUCUUGCAAGGAGGCUGUUGGGUUCUUGGAAGUUCUAGGAAAUUGAAAAAGGCGGGGCCGGCCAGGGGAAGCCUUCCCCCUCUAGCUAACACCAGGAUGGAUAGCAGCAUAAAGAAGGAAGGACCGGGAGAAGCGUAUGACCUCGUUCCAUGAUGUCCCCAAACAGAUAUGUACUGUUGGACUCGCUCUCCUCAACGACUGCUUGCCAAACACUAUCCGGUCUCAGAUUUCACAUCUGCAAAGAGGUCAUGGAGAAAGAGAGACAGAGAAGGGGAGAGAGCAUCUUCAGAUCAUCUUGGCUCCUGAUCAGUCCAACACAGACAUAUAUAUAUGCAUCAGGGUGCCCCAGGGAUAUGGUGCUUGGAGCUCAAUGCCAGCUGCUUAUACACUACCAAGGAGUUCAUGGGGACUUGUUUUCAGAAUGGUUGUGUCCUUUCACUAGGAGGAAAUGUGGCCAACACCAUCCCACUCCCUUUUGUGCCUACACCGCAGAUCCAGCGGAUGUGAACAAUUUGUGGCAUUUACUUACAUUUCAUCCCACAUGCCACCAAGUCAGUGAAUGGCAGAUUAAUGCCACAAAGGCAUAAGCAGCAAGCAAGAUAACUUCAAUAAAGUACAAUAAAUUAAUAAUCAAUCAAAGAAGAAGA